UACGUAGGUGACAAGCGUUGUCCGGAUUUACUGGGCGUAAAGAGCGCGCAGGCGGUCGUUCAAGUCGAGUGUGAAAGCCCCCGGCCCAACUGGGGAGGGUCACUCGAUACUGAUCGACUCGAAGGCAGGAGAGGGUAGUGGAAUUCCCGGUGUAGUGGUGAAAUGCGUAGAUAUCGGGAGGAACACCAGUGGCGAAGGCGACUACCUGGCCUGUUCUUGACGCUGAGGCGCGAAAGCUAGGGGAGCAAAGCGGGG
rnacentral:rRNA from 1 species